AUACGUAGGGUGCGAGCGUUGUCCCGAAUUACUGGGCGUAACGAGCUCGUAGGUGGUUUGUCGCGUCGUCUGUGAAAUUCCGGGGCUUAACUCCGGGCGUGCAGGCGAUACGGGCAUAACUUGAGUACUGUAGGGGAGACUGGAAUUCCUGGUGUAGCGGUGAACUGCGCAGAUAUCAGGAGGAACACCGGUGGCGAAGGCGGGUCUCUGGGCAGUAACUGACGCUGAGGAGCGAAAGCAUGGUUAGCGAACAGGAUUAGAUACCCUGGUAGUCCAUGCCGUAAACGGUGGGCGCUAGGUGUAGGGGUCUUCCACGACUUCUGUGCCGUAGCUAACGCAUUAAGCGCCCCGCCUGGGGAGUACGGCCGCAAGGCUAAAACUCAAAUGAAUUGACGGGG
rnacentral:rRNA from 1 species